GUUUGAGUUUUAUUAAUAAGACCAUUUAAGAUUCCUGCUACAAUCCUCAUGUAAUGUUUGGAAUGUUUAUGAUACAAAAUGUCUAUGAUAAGGUGUUGCAUGUAGCCCACCCUUCCUUGCUUGCACCUGGCCUCUGAAGCCUAGUAAUUUUCUCUUCAGUUUGCCUCUCAGCUCAGGGCAUUCAUCUUUGAGCUGGUCCCUCUUGAAGAAACAACACAGAAAUUGGACUUGCCAUUGUGUCUCCUACUAUUUUGGUGACAGUUUUCUGUGACGGGGAAAGAGUUGCUAAUUUGUUGCUGUAGGAGAUGAAGGCCUUGCAGCCACAUCUGGUAAAUUACUGCCUUCCUGAUCCUGGAGGUAGCAGCAGUACAUGGCAUUGUUUGGAAUUAAGGGCAAAAAAAAAACACAGCAAAGGAAAUUGACUUUUACAUUUUCUGCAGACUCUUAAAAAAUAAAGAUCUCCAAACCAAGUGUGUUUUCCCUUCUGAAAGCCCCCAUUGUCCAAGACAUUGAAUCAAGUCAGCCAAAGGAUAAAUUAAGCAAAACCCCUUCUAGUGUCUUGAUGGGAACUCAUAGAGGUCACUGUAGUUUGAUUGUGCGGCUUAGCUUCUUGGCCCUGGGGUGGAGCCGUGUUUAAUGUACAAAAAUGUGUAAUGAUACAAUAGUUAUCUUUUAGGCCUCUUGGAGAAAUGACAAGUGGGACUGAGUCUGCUUUGAGUGGGGAUCAUGUUGCAUAUUGGAUGAGAAAUUCAGUUUCGCUCACUUCCAGAUGACACCCAGACAAGAUCGCUCUGCUUAAGAAGAAGCAAGGACAAGGCUAUGCCCCGAAGCCCACAUGCAGGGCACCACAACCUUCAUCACAGUAACUUGAAAGGGAUUCAGGUCUGUAAAUUCAUGUUCAUGAACCAAGCUGAACCUGGAUGAAUAAACAGGAAGACUGGAGAAUGUUUCACAGUGGAAAUAAGAGGUGAGGGACAGCUGAAGGAAAGAGGGCGUGCUGAGAGAGGAAGAGAGAUCCUGUGGAUUUGGAAAUCAUUCUGCUUAGCAAACUCUGGGACUUGUUCCACACAGAUGGACAAAGGCAAAGUGCAGUGACAGACACCACCGCGUGGACAGUUGCAAUCACAGUGAGAAGAUGCAGAAGAGCCCACCACUGAAAAGCCUAAGGGCAGGGUCUCUCUGAAGCCUCCAACACUGCCUGUGUCUGACACUAUUCUUUAUUUGCCCUGGACCCUCCUCAUUACUAUGGGUUAGAUCUUAUGGCUCAGGUGUCAGAAGCUUGGUCCCCAGCAUGGUGCUAUUAGAUGGUAAUGGAGUCUUAAGACAGUGGGUCAUUGUAGGAGUUUUUUUUUUUAGCACUCAGAGUAUGAAGGGUUAUUGUUGUAUGUGGAAUAUUAUGUUAAGAUGUGAUACAUGUGUGUAUACCAUGGAAUAUUUGUUUUAAUGAUGCAAAGAUG